rnacentral:misc_RNA from 1 species
GAUAAGUACUAUAAUCAUAUUUUUGAAAAAUGGGAUACAUUAAUUUAUGUAUUCUGUUCACGUCAAAUAUUUUUCUGGGCAUGUUUGAUGAUGUCUUAAGCAGCCUCCACCUUCCUGAAAAUCUCCCAUAUUUCCAGGAAAGUUUUUAUGUUACCUUGAAAUUGAAGAUUGUUGCCUGAAAUAUUAACAACAAUUUCAAGAACCCAAAUAUAAAAUCCAACUCAAAACACG